GUGUCAGCAGCCGCGGUAAUACGGAGGGUGCAAGCGUUAAUCGGAUUUAUUGGGCGUAAAGAGCACGUAGGCGGAGUGGAAAGUUAGAUGUGAAAACCCGGGGCUCAACUCCGGAUCCGCAACUAAAACUCCCAUUCUAGAGGAUGGACGGAGAAAAGGGAAUUCCACGUGUAGCGGUGAAAUGCGUAGAUAUGUGGAAGAACACCAGUGGCGAAGGCGCUUUUCUAGUUUAUACCUGACGCUGAGGAGCGAAAGCAAGGGGAGCAAACAGGAUUAGAUACCCUGGUAGUCCUUGCUGUAAACGAUGUACACUUGAUGUAACUGGUCUCAACCCCAGUUGUGUCGUAGCUAACGCGAUAAGUGUACCGCCUGAGGAGUACGCUCGCAAGGGUGAA
rnacentral:rRNA from 1 species